rnacentral:lncRNA from 1 species
AUGAAGUCAUUACUGGCGGGUCCCUUCCCGAAGCAGGCCCUGCUGGUGCAGAUUCUUCCAUCCCGAUGCAGCAGCGCAGGGGCAGAGGCAGCGAGUGGUCGAGAGACAGCAGAAAACUCAGGUGCAGCUUCUAUUCUAGGGGCCCAAGCUGGGUUUGCGCGGCCAACCCAAAGCCAAGCGAGCAUCCUGGAGAGCAAGGACGGGCAUCUACUCCUCCUUGGCCCACACAGAGCCGCCGGCCUGCCCCUCCAGGUGGGGGAUCACGGCCUCGGUGUAGAACUUCUCCAGCUUGGGCACCGUCUGCCCCCAGAACUCGUCAUCGAACUCGACGGGGGCCACGGCCGUCUCCUUCUUGGUGUGCACCACGAAGUCGGCCUUCCGCAUGCCGGCGGCCGCCAUCUGGCACUGCACCUGGGUGAAGUAGUCGUGGUCCCGCUUCAGCGCGUAGGAGUCGCCGUCCACCCGCAGGCAGAAGUCCCGGUCCUUGCAGGCCUCCCGCACCGUCCUGUUGCGGUGCUUGUAGGGGCACUUCACCUCCAGCAGCCCCAGCGGCUUCCCCGUGUCCGCCUCGGUGACGACGCCGUCGGGGCUGGCGGCGAUCCACGUCUUCUCCUUGUGGAUGAAGAGGCCGCAGUCCUCCACCCGCACCGGCCGGCCCACCUCCCGCGACUUGAGCUCCUCGUAGGCCCGCACGGCCGCCUUCUCGUUGCGGAUGCCCCACGACAUGGCUGGCGUCUGCGCUGUGGGGCCGGGGCUCACCACCGCCUUCAGGUACGACCGCGGCACCUCGUCCGUCCGCCCGUUGGCGAACUUGCUGCCGGCGAUGCGGGGCGCCACCGAGGCCGUGAUGCGGUUCUCCCUCCACUCGUACCACUUGGGGUUGUUGCGUUGGCCCCGCGUCUCCUUCUCCACCCGGGGGAUGUCCUGGCUGUCCAGGGGGGGCAGGAACCGAGACGAAGCCUUGCCGGGGCACGGCUCAGCCUUCGCUUGGCCUUCGGCUCCUUUGGCUGCCGUCGUCUUCCUCGUGCUGGCGGAGGAGCCCCCGCCGGCCGCUCCACGCUGCUCCCCGGCAUCGCCUCGCGCCCCGCGGGAUGCCGCCGCCGUGGAUUUUGGCUGGGACGAGCUGGGCUUCGCCUCCUGGCUCCGUCCGGCCACCGGCGUGCUCCUGGAGGCACGGGCGGCCGA